rnacentral:rRNA from 1 species
CCUACGGGUGGCUGCAGUGAGGAAUAUUGGUCAAUGGACGAGAGUCUGAACCAGCCAAGUAGCGUGAAGGAUGACUGCCCUAUGGGUUGUAAACUUCUUUUAUAAAGGAAUAAAACGAGGCACGUGUGCCUUUGUGCAUGUACUUUAUGAAUAAGGAUCGGCUAACUCCGUGCCAGCAGCCGCGGUAAUACGGAGGAUUCGGGCGUUAACCGGAUUUAAUGGGUUUAAAGGGAGCGUAGAUGGGUUGUUAAGUCAGUUGUGAAAGUUUGCGGCUCAACCGUAAAAUUGCAAUUGAUACUGGCAGUCUUGAGUACAGUAGAGGGAGGCAGAAUUCGUGGUGUAGCGGUGAAAUGCUUAGAUAUCACGAAGAACCCCGAUGGCGAAGGCAGCUUACUAAACUGUGACUGACAUUGAUGCUCGAAAGUGUGGGGAUCAAACAGGAUUAGAUACCCGAGUAGUC